rnacentral:rRNA from 1 species
GAUCAUGGCUCAGGAUGAACGCUAGCUACAGGCUUAACACAUGCAAGUCGAGGGGCAGCGGGAUUGAAGCUUGCUUCAAUUGCCGGCGACCGGCGCACGGGUGAGUAACGCGUAUCCAACCUUCCGUACACGUCAGGGAUAGCCUUUCGAAAGAAAGGUUAAUACCUGAUGGUAUCUUAAGCACACAUGUAAUUAAGAUUAAAGAUUUAUCGGUGUACGUAUGGGGAUGCGUUCCAUUAGGUAGUAGGG